AUUGAACGCUGGCGGCAUGCUUUACACAUGCAAGUCGAACGGCAGCGCGGGCUUCGGCCUGGCGGCGAGUGGCGAACGGGUGAGUAAUGCAUCGGAACGUGCCCAGUAGUGGGGGAUAGCCCGGCGAAAGCCGGAUUAAUACCGCAUACGACCUGAGGGUGAAAGCGGGGGACCGGAAGGCCUCGCGCUAUUGGAGCGGCCGAUGUCGGAUUAGCUAGUUGGUGGGGUAAAGGCUUACCAAGGCGACGAUCCGUAGCUGGUCUGAGAGGACGACCAGCCACACUGGGACUGAGACACGGCCCAGACUCCUACGGGAGGCAGCAGUGGGGAAUUUUGGACAAUGGGGGCAACCCUGAUCCAGCCAUGCCGCGUGCGGGAAGAAGGCCUUCGGGUUGUAAACCGCUUUUGUUCGGGAAGAAAUCCUCUGGGCUAAUACCCCGGGGGGAUGACGGUACCGGAAGAAUAAGCACCGGCUAACUACGUG
rnacentral:rRNA from 1 species